UCUUCCCAGCUAAUCAGUCUACAAGAUGGCUCCCACACUAUAGCUGCAGGCGCUUGCCUGCUCAAAAAACACCAUCACUGUGGAGAUGUUUGAUUGAGUCUUCUUUGUAUCUCCUGUAAUACCCACAGCUUUCCUCUAGCCAACCAUUAAAGAGAGCAAUGAUUGUAUUAUAGGUAUCAUACAAAGUGUAUUACAUGCAGGUCCAAAUGGUAAAGAGCAUGUAGAUGAGUUAGAGGAAGGAUAAAAUACACAAGAAAAGAGGUUCUUGGUGUCCUGAGGAACCUUUUCCUCCCAGCUGCCUACCUGAGUGGUCUGCACACAUCUCCACCCCCCGAUGAGGCCUAUGUGGAAAAGGACGACAUCGAGCAAAGGGCAUAGGUGGAAACUCCCUCGCCCUGCAGAUUAUCAUCUGCUAUCUCAGCUCAGAGGGUUAAAGAGAGCAAGAAGGUUACCACAGAUGGCCAGCAUCCCUGUCACCAUCCCCAGCUCCAUUUCCAAGAGGGGUGUUGAGGAGUGAGAAGAGGAGGUGGCUGUCAUUGUGAAGCAAGAUAAUAUAUAACAUAGGAAAUUAAAUGGUAGUGAAUGGAUAAUGCUAAAGGCUAGAGAAGUUUGUAGAGAAGUGGAGAGAAGCCCAAGAGCUGAGCCCAUGGCAAAGGAGGUGGCCACCACGGCUGGAUAAUUUAUUUUGGAAACAGGCCUGAAAAUGAGAAUCUGAUUAUUCAGCAAAAAAUCCUUAUCUAUAAAGAGGUUUUCUUACCUUAGCCUCACUGAGGUCUAUGUCCUGAAAUUGUAAGGGUUCAGAAGACUAGAACACAAGGCCAGUGUUCAGGUCAAGAGAACAAGAGCCUUGGAAUCAGACACACUUGAAUAAAAACUGAAAUUCAUUUACUUAUUUAUUAGAUGUCCUAUGAUUUUCUUGCUCUCCCAAACUUCAAUGUUUUCAUUUGUAAAAUGGGGAUAAUAAUAGGAUCAAGUAGUUGUAAAAUGUAUCACUUAUGUGCCUCAAACACUCAGCACAGUUUACUGCAUAUAGUGCAUUUUUCAAAACUGUAGUUAUUAUUUUAUUAUUAGUCCUAAUAUACUCUUCUGAUUAGUCUUUCCAGAAGCAGUUAUUAUAUGUCAUAAUUCUUUGAUAAUGUAAAAUGAGAUUGCAGGUGGCAAACAAGGAUGGCAAGAUACCUGGGAACGAUGUCCGAUGAAACCUAAUGGAAGAAUGUGGUAAUAAUGGACUUGAGGAGAGAGACUAAAGCCUGAAGGUUCUGUGCAUGAUUGCAGAAUCCUGCUGUUUUGGAGAAUAGGUGCAGAAACAGGAACUUACAAGUAGUCAGAUUGUAGUGCCCUGUAAAGGAAUUCAACAGAAUUUGUGAUGUGGAUGACUAGCAGAUGAUGAGCUCCAUGUCAGUAAUGUUCACAUGCAUGCUGGAUGGUCUCAUGAGGCUAUUCCUGAACUGAGUAGA